GUGGAUUAGAUACCCUAGUAGUCCACGCCGUAAACUAUGGAUGCUAGCCGUUGGGGAGCUUGCUCUUCAGUGGCGCAGCUAACGCUUUAAGCAUCCCGCCUGGGGAGUACGGUCGCAAGAUUAAAACUCAAAGGAAUUGACGGGGGCCCGCACAAGCGGUGGAGCAUGUGGUUUAAUUCGAAGCGACGCGCAGAACCUUACCAGCUUUUGACAUGCCCGGUAUGAUCGCCAGAGAUGGCUUUCUUCCCGCAAGGGGCCGGUGCACAGGUGCUGCACGGCUGUCGCCAACU
rnacentral:rRNA from 1 species